AACGAACGCUGGCGGCAUGCCUAACACAUGCAAGUCGAACGAGACCUUCGGGUCUAGUGGCGCACGGGUGCGUAACGCGUGGGAACCUGCCCUUAGGUUCGGAAUAACUCCCCGAAAGGGGUGCUAAUACCGGAUAAUGUCUUCGGACCAAAGAUUUAUCGCCUUUGGAUGGGCCCGCGUUGGAUUAGCUAGUUGGUAGGGUAAAAGCCUACCAAGGCGACGAUCCAUAGCUGGUCUGAGAGGAUGAUCAGCCACACUGGGACUGAGACACGGCCCAGACUCCUACGGGAGGCAGCAGUGGGGAAUACUGGACAAUGGGCGAAAGCCUGAUCCAGCAAUGCCGCGUGAGUGAUGAAGGCCUUAGGGUUGUAAAGCUCUUUUACCCGGGAUGAUAAUGACAGUACCGGGAGAAUAAGCUCCGGCUAACUCCGUA
rnacentral:rRNA from 1 species